AUUCUACUCCCUCCGUUGCACAAUACUACAUGCCUUCUAUUUGUCAAAAUAUAUAUGUAUCUAGACAUGUCUUAGUAUAUAGGUACAUCCAUUUUUGGACAAAUGGAAGUCAAGUAUUUUAGAACGGAGGGAGUACACA
rfam:Triticum urartu cultivar G1812 contig165534, whole genome shotgun sequence.